rnacentral:lncRNA from 10 species
GAGGAGUUUCCGGAAGCCCAGCGGAAAGCAUUGCAGAGGAGCCUGGCAACCAUGUCCCAAGUUGGAAGGAAGCUCUGAGAACCCUGCUCCCCAGAAAUCCUGAGCAAAGGCUGGCUGGCCUACAGGAGCAGUCUAGAGUAAGAGCUGUUUCCUGGCAGAGGAUCAAGUAUCCAGGUCACAUUGAAGAGACAUGUGAGGACUCCAAUGGAGAACAAUUUGAGAGUGAGAAACCAGUUCUGGAGGCCAGGAAGUUCAAGAUCAAGGUGUUGGCAAGUUCAGUGUCUGCUGAGGACCUGAUCUCUCUUCUUUCAAGAUGGCAUCUUGUUGCUCUUCCCUCCAGAGAGUAGAAAUGCUGGAACCUCACAUGGAGGAAAAAAUGAAAAGGACCAAUUGAUGCCUGGGACCCAGCUGAGAUCUCCAUCAUCUCUCAAAACAACUGUGCACUGACCUCCUGACCUAAGCCCAGCCUCUGCCCACUCAGACUGACCUUCACGCAGCUGCACAAUGCUGCAUUUGGAAGCCGGACCUGACCACAUUCGUUUCCCUCUAGAUUCAUGUUCUGGAGAAAUGAAAAUGCUGUCUCAGUGGAAUGUUGAUUAGCUGGAGUGGAGACCCAAGAUCUCUGUCCAGGCAGGGCCAUCAAAACAUAGAAGUGCUCUUGGCUUUCCAAAAUCUGCACAUCUCCAACUUUUCUUUUAGCUAGAGGUGGCCCUGUGAUUGAUGAGUGACCAGCCAUGUGUGGAGAAAAGCAAUGUGAACAACUUCUGACUUCGCUGUUAAAGAAAAUUGGUCUGUCCCCCAUUUCCUUGCAUUCCCAUUCUUACUGGCUGAAAUUCAAAGCUGAUAAAUGGAGCUAGAGCAGAUAGCUGGGAAAAUGAGUUGAGGGUCUUACAUUAAGACUUGCCAGCAAGAAGAAGAAUUUUUCCAGGGUUCCUGACACCGCCAAAUUGUUCGAUCAGCUCUGAACUCUAUACUGAGAUUCUUUAAGUAUGAGAGACAUGAACUUUGACUGGCUUAAGUGAGCUAUUGAGGUCUCUUUGCUAUUGUGACCUAACUCAGGGGUCAGCAAAUAACACUCUGUGCGCAAAAUCUGACUACGAUCUGUUUUUGUAACUAAAUAAAAUUUCACUGAAACACACCCAUGCUCAUUUAUUUAGGUAUGGCUGCUUUCAUGAUACCAUGGCACAUUUGACUACCUAUAGACAGUGAUAUGAUGUGGAUCUGUGUCCCCACCCAAAUCUCAUGUUGAAAUGUAAUCCCCCUGUGCUGGAGGUGGGAUCUGGUGGGAGGUGAAAUGGGGGCGGUUUCUCAAGAAUGGUUUAGCUCCAUUUCUCUGCUGCUGUAUUCAUGAUAGUAAGUGAGUGAGUUGUCACAAGAUCUGAUUGUGUAAAAGUGUGUGGCACCUCCCCCUUCUCUCUUGCUCCUUCUCGGCCAUGUAAGACCUGCCUGCUUCCCCUUCACCUUCCACCAUGAUUGUAAAUUUCAU